UACGUAGGGGGCAAGCGUUGUCCGGAUUUAUUGGGCGUAAAGCGCGCGUAGGCGGCCCUGUAAGUCCGUUGUGAAAGUCAAAGGCUCAACCUUUGAAAGCCGAUGGAUACUGCAGGGCUAGAGUCCGGAAGAGGCGAGUGGAAUUCCUGGUGUAGCGGUGGAAUGCGCAGAUAUCAGGAGGAACACCAAUAGCGAAGGCAGCUCGCUGGGACGGUACUGACGCUAAGGCGCGAAAGCGUGGGGAGCGAACAGGG
rnacentral:rRNA from 1 species